rnacentral:rRNA from 3 species
CCUGGCGGCCGUAGCGCGGUGGUCCCACCUGACCCCAUGCCGAACUCAGAAGUGAAACGCCGUAGCGCCGAUGGUAGUGUGGGGUCUCCCCAUGCGAG